CUCAUGUUUGAUUAUGUUAUUUGGUUCAGGUGUGUCUUGUGUAGUGAGCCACCCAAUGCCAGAUCAGCGUCACCAUGGAAACAGCCCUCACACCUGAGAGCAAAUGCUGAUCGUCAGCACCUGAACCUAAUCAAGAGGAGCAUAUAUAAAUGGAAGAGAAGCGAAGGAGGAUGAGCUUUGUCUCUGAAUAUGCAAGACACUAAUGUUGUGCUCUUUACUUAUUGCAGAGACCAGCGGCUGACAAUAGGCACUCCCUAGACGUUCACCGUGAUUCACCCUUCCCUCUCAAAGACUGCACAGAGCAUGCCCUCAAACUAAAGCAACUGCUCUCUCGCUGAAGAAGCCCGGAAUGGAGGAAAUCAUCCAACGUCUGACUGAAAUCACCACCCACCAGCACCAGUUUGUGGAACAGCUGGCUUCUCGCCAGGAAUGGAUGGAGCAGACAGUGGAGAUGUUGCUGGCAGCUGCACGAGUACCAUUGCCUGAUCCCAGCGCAUCGGCACACCAUCUCACAAUACUCAGUGACCAGGAUGAUAUUGAAGUUUACCUGCACACGUUUGAAGUGGUUGCCACCGGAGAGAAUUGGGACAGAUGAGAAGGGGCUAUGUCUUAGCUGCCUUUCUGACCUGGGAAGCAUAAUGGGCCUAUUUCGCAUUAACCCUUCCCGAGAAUGAAGACUACAGUGGGGUCAAGCGUGAAAUCCUUGCCUGGCUUGGACUGUCUCCCAUCUGUGCCACCCAACAGUUUUGGAUAUGAAGAAAACGUGCCAGUUAGGGUACAGGCCACCCGAUUGUCCCGCAUUGCUCAUUUAUGGUUGCUGGUAGAUGAACCCUCUGCCUCCCAGGUUGCUGAGAGUUGUGGUUGACCGCCUGCUCUGUGCGCUUCCCCCGCAGGUAUAGGAACCCAUUUGGAAUAAGGAACCCGAACAGCCUGGCUGAGCUCGUAGAAGCAGUCGAGCUUGCAGAAGUGGCAUUCGCUAGAGAUGCUGGAGAGAGAGCGGUAUCCAACCCCCGGAGGGCAACCCCUGUUUGGCGAUCAUCGGAGAGCACCUCAAGACCAGUAAAAAGACCUAGCGGCCCCUUCCCUGGCCGACGAGCCCAUGCCCAUGGAACCCGCCUCAGCGGCAGCACUGCUGUGAUUGGCCGGUUGAUUAGUACUCCGCUCCUUAACUCCCAGGGCUCCUGAAUGGCGAGUUUACAUCAACAGGAAACCAGUCACGGUGAAUCUUGACUCCGGCAGCGCUAUCACACUGGUACAGCCCGGGCUGGUAUGGCCCAGGACUCAUGGAAAAGCCACCAUCCCAAUUACCUGUGUGCACGAGGAUACCCAGUGGGUGCCCGUUCGUCAAGUCACCAUCUCAGGCCCUUAGAGGUGGGCAUCAUCCAGGACCUCCCCGUGCCGGCUCUGCUCAGAAGGGAUUGGCUGGGUUUUGAUAAGCUGCUUGCCUCAAAACCUCCGGCCAGUAGGGGAGUCCACUGCUGGAAACGCCAGGAACGGAGCAGCGGGGCUCAGCCAGCUCUGAUGGCCACCGAAAGUGAGCGUCAGGGUGAGUCCGAGUCCCGUUCCAAUAACCUUUUCUUGAAUCUCUAUCAACAGAUGAUUGCUGGGGGCUCAUUCAGUAAAGAACAGCGUGAGGAUGACCAACUGCGGAACUGCUGGCUCCAAGUGUGAUUAUUUGACAGGGAGGUCCAACAACCUGCGCCUUACCCCUUUCCUUACUUUGUGGUCCCAAAUGGUCUGCUUUACUUUGUCGCCCAGCAGUGGGGGGAGAAAAAAAAUUACUACUAGAUGUUCCCAAAACAAAGACAGACAUUUAUCAAGCUUGCCCACACCCAUCCGAUGGCCGGUCAUCUGGGGGCCGUCAAAUCCAUACAAAGGAUUCGUGACCACUUCCAUUGGCCAGGUUUAGAAGCUGAAGUAAAAUGCUUCUGCCAGAGCUGCCCUACCUGUCAACGCACCACUCCAAUGAGACCUCCUCUACCAUGGCUUCUCCCUCCAUUGGCUCCAUAGAGGGUUGCCUUCAUGGCUGUGGCCUGGGUCCCUCCUGUCUCCUCCCUGGCUCUUCCCUCCAUCUGGUCCAUCCUAGCUCCUCCCGUCUCAUCCCUGGGUCCUCCUGUCGUCUCCACCCUGGAAUCUGUUGGCCGUCCUCCUCCCGGGUGUCCGUCCUCCACCUCCUCCUCCUGAGUUCCCCUCCAUCCCUCCCUUUGUUCCUGCGGCACAAGGACUGUUUGUGUGUUUCUUGCCAUGUGCUCUCCAUGACCUAGUUUUCCCUCAUGUUUGAUUGUUAUUUGGUUCAGGUGUCCCUUGUUAGUUACCCUCCUUUGUGUUAGUACUUAGUCUAGUCUGUCCUGUGAUCCCCUGUCCUGUAUUGUAUGUCUGAAUGUCUCUCCGUGAGGUACUACGUGUGACUCCUGCCUUCCUGUGUUAACCACGAUCUGGAAUAUUAAAGUGUGUCCACUGAAAACUCCUUCAUGUUCGUUCUCCUUGCUCCAACACAGUAGUAUCGUGACAAUGGUCCAAAUGGACCAAAAGUCAGUUAAUGGAAAACAUAGAAAUGCAUUAAUAAAUAACAAAUUUAAUUGCGUUCAAAUAAUUUUCAAUUUACUUUUUAACCAUAAUUUACUAACUUAAAUCUAUGAAGAUUCACUAUUUUUAAAGAUAAGAAACAUUUCAAACAGCUUUUUUUUAUUUUACACAUGCAUACAAUUUAUUUAUAAAGAGU
ensembl:lncRNA